rnacentral:rRNA from 1 species
UACCCGCUGAACUUAAGCAUAUCAUUCAGCGGAGGAAAAGAAACUAACUAGGAUUCCCAAAGUAACGGCGAGUGAACUGGGAAAAGCCCAGCGCUGAAUCUUUCGAUACUAUAUCGUAAAGAAAUGUAGCGUAUAGGUAUAAUUUUCGGCUUGUUUGGCAUGUCCAAAGUUCCUUUGAUAGGGACCAUCAUCCAGAGAGGGUGCGAGGCCUGUGCGGAUAGCUGAACAUGCCGUAUGAUUAUACCUUGGAGUCGGGUUGCUUGAAAGUGCAGCCUUAAGUGGGUGAUAAACUUCAUCUAAGGCUAAAUACGAACGCGAAUUCGAUAGCAAACAAGUACUGUGAAGGAAAGUUGCAAAGAACUUUGAAGAGAGAGUUCAAGAGAACGUGAAAUCGUUGAGGUGGAACCGGAGAGAGUUGACGUAGUCUGAUGGUUAAGUAUUAUGAGAAUCGUAUUCAUUAAUUUGAAUAUGAUCAAAUAAUAUGUAUACCACCAAUGACUGUGCUGACAGUAUCGGCUGCACGAUCCGAACUAUGUUGACAUGUUGCUCAUUCUAUUCAUUUAGAAUGAUGUCUUGUGUUACGUUGUGAGGUUUGUUGUAUGUUGAUGUUGAUAAAUGCCUAAUUAUUUCUAUAAUAAUUAUGUCAGCGUAAAAGUCAACCACCUCUCCGACCCGUCUUGAAACACGGAA